rnacentral:rRNA from 1 species
CGGACGGGUGAGUAACGCGUGGGUAACCUGCCCUGUACAGGGGGAUAACAGUUGGAAACGGCUGCUAAAACCGCAUAACAUGGAGAUACCGCAUGAUAUUUCCAUCAAAUAUUUAUAGGUACAGGAUGGGCCCGCGUCUGAUUAGCCAGUUGGCAGGGUAAUGGCCUACCAAAGCGACGAUCAGUAGCCGACUUGAGAGAGUGACCGGCCACAUUGGGACUGAGACACGGCCCAAACUCCUACGGGAGGCAGCAG